AUCCGAUCUUGAAAGAGAAGAUAUCCUUUCCCAUUUUGUAUUAUUUGCAAUCAUAAGAUUUUAUCUGGGUACAAUGAUUAUUAUUAGAGUUGCACAUUCCUUCACGAUUGAGAACAUUAAUAUGGUUCAGAAAUUUGCUGAGGUACUGAUUUCCAAGGAAAUGCCAACUUGAUCACGGGAACGAACGGUGCUUAUAUGCCCUUGGAAGGCAUCAAGACUUCGAAGGCCCAAAUCCAUUCUCCUAAAACACACUGCUAAAGUCCAAAAAAGAGGUCGAAUAGGGUCCAGUCCACUCCAGUCGUAAAAGUAAAAAAUUUAAACUCUUCCCUCCUGAUUGGUGCCCCAAUUUGUGCAGCAUAAAAAAUGCGCGCCUUCUCCAUUGAAUAAUUUGACAUUGUCAAUUUCAUUCGAAGUUUCAAGCCUAGGAUGAAACAUAAAAAAAGAUUCCGCUUCCGCCCUCCCUCCUUUUAAAAAAAUAGUCCCAAACUAAAACCAUUUUUUUCCUAAUUCAACCCACCAAAUUUCCCUCCAUGUUACCAAAACUAAAAAAAACAUGUAAAAAUCCCAAAACAACUUGAAUUGAAUUCUUUCUUUUCCUCCCCUCCAAAAUCCACCAUUACUUAUGUCUCCUCUUCUCCACAAUUUCUCCACCCCUCCCAUCCUCUCUGCCCUUCUCCUCCACCUCUUUCUCCUCCCCCUCUCUCAGUCAAAUGGCUAUUCUCUCCUUCCAUGAAAAUGACAACAAGGAGAACAUCCCUCCUUUCUCCUCAAAAAAGCCUACAUUUCUUCUUACAAAACCUUCAUCCUCCAACAAUAAAAAAAGAAGAUUAAGGAAACCCCUUCAAGACAUUACCAAUCUUAUUCUCCCACAAAUCUUCUCAACUCCAGUUCAAUCCGAUACAACAGUUCUGGUUUCUUCCCCAGCUUUGGCUUCUCAACCCAAUUUCAAAAAGAGGAGAGAUGAAGAUAAGCUAGGAUCAAUUUGCAGGAAGACUCACUUCGUGUAUAAAAGUGUGAACUUCCGAUAGCUCAAACACUAAAUCCCUAAAUUACUAGGGCGAUUCGUAUGUCAAUUACUCAAUCUGCUUGAUUGAGGGUUCAUUUUUGUUUCGUUUUCUUGUACGAGUACUUUGGUUUUAAGUUAUACAUUUAUACAUAAAUAUCAUUGAUAUAGUAUGUCUCAAAAUCGAAA